rnacentral:rRNA from 1 species
AAUGCUUGGGAACUUGCCUUUGCGAGGGGGAUAACAGUUGGAAACGACUGCUAAUACCGCAUAAUGUCUUCGGACCAAACGGGGCUUCGGCUCCGGCGCAAAGAAAGGCCCAAGUGAGAUUAGCUAGUUGGUAAGGUAACGGCUUACCAAGGCGACGAUCUCUAGCUGUUCUGAGAGGAAGAUCAGCCACACUGGGACUGAAACACGGCCCAGACUCCUACGGGAGGCAGCAGUGGGGAAUAUUGCACAAUGGGGGAAACCCUGAUGCAGCCAUGCCGCGUGUGUGAAGAAGGCCUUCGGGUUGUAAAGCACUUUCAGUUGUGAGGAAAAGUUAGUAGUUAAUACCUGCUAGCCGUGACGUUAACAACAGAAGAAGCACCGGCUAACUCCGUGCCAGCAGCCGCGGUAAUACGGAGGGUGCGAGCGUUAAUCCGAAUUACUGGGCGUAAAGCGCACGCAGGCGGUUUGUUAAGCUAGAUGUGAAAGCCCCGGGCUCAACCUGGGAUGGUCAUUUAGAACUGGCAGACUAGAGUCUUGGAGAGGGGAGUGGAAUUCCAGGUGUAGCGGUGAAAUGCGUAGAUAUCUGGAGGAAC